AUUUUCCUUUGCACAGGUUUUGAUAAAUCUCCCCCACAGUCUGAAGUUUGGUCACUCUGUCUGGGCAAUUGAAAUCAAUGGCGGGAUGCCGAUGGAUACUUCUAACGGGGGCACUAACGCAGGUAGAGAUGAGGAAGAUGAAUCAGCUAGCACCUAUUAGGCAUGUGCCAGCUUUACCUCUGCCGAAAUCCUUGGGCAAAUGACAGCAGUGAAAAAGGAAACGUAAUGGUGAACAGGCAUGGAAGGCGUCAGUGACCAGAUGACUUGUGGGUGACCUAUAAGACCCCUCCAGAGAAGAGCUAACCAGUCAGUCUAAGCUAAACUGAGCUACAGUGACGUCAAGACCUGAGAGUGUCUGGUGUCCUGAAGAGACACAAGGCCGACCACGCAACCACUUCUAAUCCAGUGCCCCACAGGUGAAAGUCAAAACCUGGAAAGCUACAAAGGGGAUGAAGUCUGUCUAAUCAGU